AAGUCAUGUGGGUCAUGGAGCUGCAGAUAAAUCCAAACAGCAGCAGCUCCAGCAUUGAGCACAGGUCAUUCUGUGUUUCUGAAGUUUUCUCUCCGUGAGACCACACAAGACUGACUUCAAUGAACUGCUGAAGCAUGUUGCGUACACAUCAUCACAAAGUAUUCAUGGAAAAUGGGAGCUCCAUGAACGAUGCACCAGAC